ACGCACGCUGGCGGCAUGCCUCACCCCUGCCAGUCGCACGCGACCUUCGGGUCUAGUGGCGCACGGGUGCGUAACGCGUGGGAACCUGCCCUUAGGUUCGGAAUAACUCCCCGAAAGGGGUGCUAAUACCGGAUAAUGUCUUCGGACCAAAGAUUUAUCGCCUUUGGAUGGGCCCGCGUUGGAUUAGCUAGUUGGUAGGGUAAAAGCCUACCAAGGCGACGAUCCAUAGCUGGUCUGAGAGGAUGAUCAGCCACACUGGGACUGAGACACGGCCCAGACUCCUACGGGAGGCAGCAGUGGGGAAUAUUGGACAAUGGGCGAAAGCCUGAUCCAGCAAUGCCGCGUGAGUGAGGAAGGCCUUAGGGUUGUAAAGCUCUUUUACCCGGGAUGAUAAUGACAGUACCGGGAGAAUAAGCUCCGGCUAACUCCGUGC
rnacentral:rRNA from 1 species